rnacentral:rRNA from 1 species
GUGGGGAAUCUUAGACAAUGGGGGCAACCCUGAUCUAGCCAUGCCGCGUGAUCGAUGAAGGCCUUAGGGUUGUAAAGAUCUUUCAGCUGGGAAGAUAAUGACGGUACCAGCAGAAGAAGCCCCGGCUAACUCCGUGCCAGCAGCCGCGGUAAUACGGAGGGGGCUAGCGUUGUUCGGAAUUACUGGGCGUAAAGCGCACGUAGGCGGACUGGAAAGUCAGGGGUGAAAUCCCGGGGCUCAACCCCGGAACUGCCUUUGAAACUCCCAGUCUUGAGUUCGAGAGAGGUGAGUGGAAUUCCGAGUGUAGAGGUGAAAUUCGUAGAUAUUCGGAGGAACACCAGUGGCGAAGGCGGCUCACUGGCUCGAUACUGACGCUGAGGUGCGAAAGCGUGGGGAGCAAACAGGAUUAGAAACCCGGGUAGUCC